rnacentral:sRNA from 2 species
CUACCCGCGAUAACACUUCGUUGAGUGGUACUUUGCCAGCCGUCCUCUGCGGCUGGCUUUUUUA